UACGUAGGCAGCAAGCGUUGUUCGGAGUUACUGGGCGUAAAGGGUGCGUAGGCGGCCUUAUAAGUAUGGUGUGAAAUCUCCCGGCUUAACUGGGAGGGUGCGCUAUAGACUGUGGGGCUAGAGUGUGGGAGAGGAAAGUGGAAUUCCUGGUGUAGCGGUGAAAUGCGUAGAUAUCAGGAGGAACACCGGUGGUGUAAACGGCUUUCUGGACCAUAACUGACGCUGAGGCACGAAAGCGUGGGGAGCAAACAGG
rnacentral:rRNA from 1 species